ACACGAGAAGGGAGGUGGUUCGGCAGAUGUGUGAAUACCGGACGCGUGAGGUGGCUGCGGGCUAGCGGCCCGUCCCCACACCAUGUGCGGUGCCGGACCAGCACGCGACAGAUGCGUGCAGCCGGCCAAUCCCAAGCAGUCACCCGACCCGCGGGCUGCCGGUACGUCCGGCCGGCUCCUCCUUGAGGAACCCAGCCCGCGGGUCGUCUGCG
rnacentral:sRNA from 1 species